CCUACGGGUGGCAGCAGUGAGGAAUAUUGGUCAAUGGGCGUAAGCCUGAACCAGCCAUCCCGCGUGCAGGAAGAAGGCGCUAUGCGUCGUAAACUGCUUUUCCAGAGGAAGAAAACCCCCGACGUGUCGGGGCUUGCCGGUACUCUGGGAAUAAGCAUCGGCUAACUCCGUGCCAGCAGCCGCGGUAAUACGGAGGAUGCGAGAGUUAUCCGGAUUUAAUGGGUUUAAAGGGUACGUAUACGGAUUAGGUGAAAACCUUCAGCUUAACUGGAGACUUGCCAUUGAUACUGUUAGUCUUGAGUACGGUCAAGGUAGGCGGAAUGUGUAAUGUAGCGGUGAAAUGCUUAGAUAUUACACAGAACACCGAUUGCGAAGGCAGCUUACUGGGCCAUUACUGACGCUGAUGCACGAAAGCGUGGGGAGCGAACAGGAUUAGAUACCCCAGUAGUC
rnacentral:rRNA from 1 species